rnacentral:rRNA from 1 species
UACGGAGGGUGCGAGCGUUAUCCGGAAUUACUGGGUUUAAAGGGUGCGUAGGCGGCCAACUAAGUCGGAUGUGAAAUCCCCAGGCUUAACCUGGGAACUGCAUCCGAUACUGGAUGGCUUGAAUCCGGGAGAGGGAUGCAGAAUUCCAGGUGUAGCGGUGAAAUGCGUAGAUAUCUGGAGGAAUACCGGUGGCGAAGGCGGCAUCCUGGACCGGCAUUGACGCUGAUGAGCGAAAGCUAGGGGAGCAAACAGG